rnacentral:lncRNA from 1 species
ACAUGCGACCAAACGCCGCAUUUUUAGCUUCUGUAACCGCCAGCUUUGCUUCUUUCCUCGCCGCCUUCUUCACCUCCACCUUUCCUUCGACUACAUCAUUCCACCACCAGUCACCCUCAUGUCUGCCUGAAUAGCCCUUGGCCACCCCGAGCACGUUCCGUGCUUCCUCCCUAACCAAGUUCACCGUCUCUGACCACAUAGCGUCCGCUGCCCCAGAACUUCGCCAAGCUCCGCCCUCAACUAACCUCCUCUCCAACUCCUGUGCUUUCUCCUUA